rnacentral:rRNA from 1 species
AUUGAACGCUGGCGGCAUGCUUUACACAUGCAAGUCGAACGGCAGCGCGGGCUUCGGCCUGGCGGCGAGUGGCGAACGGGUGAGUAAUGCAUCGGAACGUGCCCAGUAGUGGGGGAUAGCCCGGCGAAAGCCGGAUUAAUACCGCAUACGACCUGAGGGUGAAAGCGGGGGACCGAAAGGCCUCGCGCUAUUGGAGCGGCCGAUGUCGGAUUAGCUAGUUGGUGGGGUAAAGGCUUACCAAGGCGACGAUCCGUAGCUGGUCUGAGAGGACGACCAGCCACACUGGGACUGAGACACGGCCCAGACUCCUACGGGAGGCAGCAGUGGGGAAUUGUGGACAAAGGGGGGAACCCUGAUCCAGCCAUGCCGCGUGCGAGAAGAAGGCCUUCGGGUUGUAAACCGCUUUUGUUCGGGAAGAAAUCCUCUGGGCUAAUACCCCGGGGGGAUGACGGGACCGGAAGAAUAAGCACCGGGUAAAUACGUG